GGGGCAGGCCGGGAAUUGAAGUCAUCACUAGAGAAGGCGCUCGGGAGCUCGUUCCUCACGUGGCUACUGGAGCGCCGGCUUUCUUCUUGUUUUGCUUCCUCCUCUGCCCGCGUGUGUGGCUACUGUGUCAUGUGGUCGGCGGUUUUCAGUAAUGUUAGCUGAAAUGUAGGAAACCAAAAUUCUACGAAACUUAACUGAUUCGGAGAAAGCGAGGACCUGUCUUUUCUGCCCCGCCUUCUGUAGAUAGGUAUCUGACGGGGGCGGUGUGGCGGUAGAAUCAGGUUGAGCAUUGCAAGAGCGCGGGAUUUGAUCUAGAGUGAGGCUUUGAUACUUUUGGGAAAGUGAAUGUUAAUUCGUUUCCCGGUCUUGGCGCGCCCUGACACCAGUACGGUUGAGCUCAUCCUCCUUACGGUAAAAUCACUAGUGAAGAAAUACCUGAAUUGCCUUGUGCACGUUUCUCAAGAGAGUAGCAUGCGUUGCUGGUGAUGUGAAAAGAAUGUGGACUUAACUGCAUACUCUUGUUGGCUACGAGUUCAGCCUGCACAAAUGUGUGGGUCAGGUUCGCAAACUGCGCAAAUAAACACGUCUCAAAGGACAUAAUGCAACCGCAGCCGGUUCGAGCACCGAGAAACCUUAAGUAACAAAAUCAAUUUACUGGACUUCCCGGGUUGCCUCCUAGAACUCUGGUGUGAGUGGCGCUUCUGAAGCGGUCGUUCUGUUUAGUGCCUGUAUUCCUAUUCAUAUAUUCUGCUGUGUUGCAAAUGGAUUGAAGAAAAACAAGAAUGAACUUGGAACAACUAAGUAAGAGAGUAUUUUAGUCAUCCAGAUGGUUACUCUGAUUGUGGUGGCAGCGAAGACAGGAGAAAGGUAAUAAAUCCAAGAUACAUUCUUAGAGAUUGAAAUGACAAGACUGCGUGAUAAAGUGGAAAUGAAGGCGUUCUCCUGAAUGAGUCCCGUUUUUCUGGAUUGAAUGGCCUUGCAGAUGGGGGCUCCUCUGGUUUCAAAGAAGAAGAGGAAGGCGAUGACGAUUGAAAUAUCCUGUAUGAAAUGGAAGACGAGAACUUCGUUGAAAGUCCGCACGACUUCAGAAGAGUAGUGACUGCCCACGUGAACCGGGCUCCUGACCCUUGCCAACCAGCAGAACCUGGUUCCCUGGUCUUCUCUCCUCCACUGCUCCCCACUGAUCUCUGCAGCAUCUGUGGACUCCGGAGGACAAGACUCGGUGAAUUCAUCUACUUUAUUGCUGCCCUGCAGCUGUCACCACCCUCUUCUCUGACAUCAGAAGCCAGCAUGCUUGGUCAUCCAACGUGAACUGAAGACUAGUGACUCUCCAGGAAUCUUCCAGGCCUUCAGCACCAGAUUACCUCUGCUGAGGAGGAAUCCAGCUACAUGGACCAAGUAGCUAUUGGGUUCCCAGCUUCUCCAGAGCAUAGCUGUGUUUGGACUAACGAGCUUAUGGUAUGUAAGACAAUCUAAUAAAGCCAGUUUUUAAUGUA